rnacentral:rRNA from 1 species
UACGUAGGGCGCAAGCGUUAUCCGGAAUUAUUGGGCGUAAAGAGCUCGUAGGCGGUUUGUCGCGUCUGCCGUGAAAGUCCGGGGCUCAACCCCGUGACUGCAUCCGAUACUGUCAGGCUAGAGGUAGGUAGGGGAGAUCGGAAUUCCUGGUGUAGCGGUGAAAUGCGCAGAUAUCAGGAGGAACACCGGUGGCGAAGGCGGAUCUCUGGGCCUUACCUGACGCUCAGGCGCGAAAGCUAGGGGAGCGAACAGG